CGGAAAUUUGUCAACAGAAGACUCAUCUUUGUCUGUGGUUACCCAAGGAUCGCAUGUAGCUAUUAACUAACUAUAUGAACAUUCUACCAGCUUCGUUGCAUAUACUUUUUGAACAGAAUGGAUAACGGAACAGAUGGAUGCAGAUGUCAUCUACUGGACUUACCCUGGGAGGAUGUGCUGGUUACAAAUGUUUUCUGCUACUUGCCAUUAAGUCAUCUUGUCAGUCUACAGAGAGUUAGCAAGCAGUUUCAUGCUCUCAUUCAGGUUUACCUUGCCAACUGCCGGACCUUUGAUCUCACUCAAAUAGGGGCUUCAAUUCCCAAGGAGGCCUUUUGCUCUAUGCUAAGGGACAACAAAGUUCUCCAGAACUUAGCAUUGCAGAACUGCUCAGAUUGGGUGACAGACAGUGAGCUGCUGCCUGUGAUUGGUCAGAACCAGCACCUGCUGAGAGUGGACAUGAAGGGAUGUGUUCAAUUGACCCGCCACUCCCUGGUGGCCUUGUCUUUGAGCUGCAUGCACCUUCAGCACCUGGGCCUGGCUCACUGCGAGUGGGUGGACAGCCUGUCCCUGCGCAGCCUGGCUGACCACUGCAGGGGGCUGCAAUCCAUAGACCUCACCGCCUGUCGCCAGCUCAAGGACGAGGCCAUCUGUUAUCUCGCCAAAAACUGUCUGAAGUUGAGGUCUGUGUCUGUGGCAGUCAAUGCCAACAUCACGGACGACUCUGUGGAGGAGGUGGCCAAGAACUGCAGGGAGCUAGCGCAGCUGGACCUGACAGGCUGUCUGCGGGUUAGGAACCAGUCCAUCAGGACUGUUGCGGAAUAUUGCCCCAAGCUUCAGUCCCUAAAGGUGAAUCACUGUCACAAUGUUACUGAGUCCAGCCUGGAUCUUUUACGCAAGCGGAAUGUUGAAAUUGAUGUUGAACAACCACUACAGAGGGCACUAGUACUUUUACAGGAUGUGGUGGGAUUUGCACCCUUCAUCAAUCUUCAGAUUUAGGCAAAGAGCUAUUUAUCUCCAUCUAUCACAAGUACAGUAAAACAGGUCUUGAUCACAAGUGGAGAAAAUGAUCUACCUUGCACUUUAUAGUGCCACUGACAAAGUCAACGUUAUUACUGAUCUACAACUUCUUAUCACCCGUUGUAACCUGUACCUUUUAAAAAAGGGAAAGCCCAACCAAAGUACAAGAACAAAGAACAUGGUUAUCUGUGAGAGUACUGUAUUAAAGGUAACAUGUUUCAUUUAGAAACAUUAAACGGUAAAAUAUUAUUAGGCAUGCAUGAAUAUGCUACUGACACUUUCUAUGUCCUUUUUUGUGCAUUGUUGAGGACUAAGUGCUGUCUGAAAAUACUCCCCAUGUCUUUAAGUAAUGUUCAAUUGGAUUUGGGAAUGUUGCAAAAAUUGGAUGUAAUCACAGUAAGUUUUAUUAUAAGGUGUAAAUCCUACUUUACCAAUAACAAAUCUUUUUGUGCUGUGUUUAUGUGUUAAGGCUAUCUGAGGGGCAGGGGCACCAGCUGCAUAUGGUGGGGCACAGGGGCGUUGCUAGACAUACAGCUCUACUGGGGCACAGGCCCAUCAUUAGAGCUACUCAUCACUUAAGUUUUUUCUUUUCUUUUAAGCUUGCAAUACAAUGCACUAACUUGCAUUGCCUAACCCACUAUAUGCAGGGGUGCACAUAACUGGUACGCAGGUCACAUGCGCGUCAAAAAUCAGGAAUGUGUAAAGCCACUUGUUUUACUAUGCACCUUUGCAUACUUGACUGAUAACCUCUAACCUUACACAUGACAUGUUGCUUGUCAACUACUCAGAGAUGUCUAAAAAGCAACAGACGCAAAGAAGCUUCUUUGGCGUUUCGCCACCUACAAAGAAAUGCCA